CCUUAGAGUUGAUCCUGGCUCAGGAUGAACGCUGGCGGCGUGCCUAACACAUGCAAGUCGAACGGGAACUAUUAUAUCCGAGAAAAUAAUCGGUUAUUCCCUCGGAUAUGAUAGUUCUAGUGGCAGACGGCUGAGUAAUACAUUGGUACCUACCCCAAAGUGGGGGAUAGCUCAUCGAAAGAUGGGGUAAUCCCGCAUGUGCUCCUCGGAGUAAAGCUUUAGCGCUUUGGGAAGGGCCUUUGGCCUAUCAGUUUGUUGGUGAGGUAAUAGCUCACCAAGACUAUGACGGGUAGCUGGAUCGAGAGGUUGACCAGCCAGACUGGGACUGAGACACGGCCCAGACUCCUACGGGAGGCAGCAGUGAGGAAUUUUCCACAAUGGGCGAAAGCCUGAUGGAGCGACGCCGCGUGAAGGAUGAAGCUUUUCGGAGUGUAAACUUCUUUUAUGUGGGAAGAUUAUGACUGUACCACAUGAAUAAGGACCGGCUAACUACGUGCCAGCAGCCGCGGUAAUACGUAGGGUCCGAGCGUUAUCCGGAAUUACUGGGCGUAAAGAGUUCGUAGGCGGGUUUUUAAGUUAGAUGUUAAAUAUGCAGGCUCAACUUGCAUGCUGCAUCUAAUACUGGAAGCCUUGAGAGUGGAAGAGGUAAGCGGAAUUUCCGGUGGAGCGGUAAAAUGCGUAGAUAUCGGAAAGAACACCAAUGGCGAAGGCAGCUUACUGGGCCAUUUCUGACGCUGAGGAACGAAAGCGUGGGGAGCGAUCGGGAUUAGAUACCCCGGUAGUCCACGCCGUAAACGAUGUYUACUAGCUUUUUCGAGUAUCGACCCUUGGAGAAGCGAAGCUAACGCGUUAAGUAGACCGCCUGGGGAGUACGAGCGCAAGCUUAAAACUCAAAGGAAUUGACGGGGACCCGCACAAGCGGUGGAACAUGUGGUUUAAUUCGUAGCUAAGCGAAAGACCUCACCGAGGCUUGACAUCCUGGUCGUAUCCCAUAGAAACAUGGGAGUCAUUUAGUUGGACCAGUGACAGGUGUUGCAUGGCUGUCGUCAGCUCGUGUCGUGAGAUGUUGGGUUAAGUCCUUCAACGAGCGCAACCCUCAUUGUAUGUUAAUUUUUCAUACGAAACUGCCCUGGUUAACGGGGAGGAAGGUGGGGAUGACGUCAAGUCAGCAUGGCCCUUACGCCUCGGGCCACACACGUGUUACAAUGGCCGGAACAAUGAGUCGCAAUAUCGUAAGAUGGAGCUAAUCUCCAAAUCCGGUCCCAGUUCGGAUUGAGGGCUGAAAUUCGCCCUCAUGAAGUCGGAAUCGCUAGUAAACGCAAAUCAGCACGUUGCGUUGAAUACGUUCCCGGGUCUUGUACACACCGCCCGUCACACCACGAAAGUUAGAAACAUCCGACACCCGCGUAAGCGGUCUAAGGUGGGUUUAGCAAUUGGGGUGAAGUCGUAACAAGGUAACCAAGGGCGAAUUCGUU
rnacentral:rRNA from 1 species